UCACACAGGGUAGAUCUGUCUAGAGUGGU
rnacentral:piRNA from 1 species